rnacentral:rRNA from 1 species
AUUGAACGCUGGCGGCAUGCCUUACACAUGCAAGUCGAACGGCAGCACGGGAGCAAUCCUGGUGGCGAGUGGCGAACGGGUGAGUAAUAUAUCGGAACGUGCCCAGUCGUGGGGAUAACGUAGCGAAAGCUACGCUAAUACCGCAUACGAUCUAUGGAUGAAAGCGGGGGAUCGCAAGACCUCGCGCGAUUGGAGCGGCCGAUAUCAGAUUAGGUAGUUGGUGAGGUAAAGGCUCACCAAGCCGACGAUCUGUAGCUGGUCUGAGAGGACGACCAGCCACACUGGGACUGAGACACGGCCCAGACUCCUACGGGAGGCAGCAGUGGGGAAUUUUUGGGACAAGUGGGCGCAAGCCUGAUCCAGCAAUGCCGCGUGCAGGAUGAA